GGGAGUUCAUUUGUUGAAACAUCAUUGAGAACUUUUUCUUGAGCUGGUACCUCCCCUGUCUCUGUUGCAACUUGAGCAUGCCAGUGCAUGCCGCUAUGACAGGUUCACUUGUUGUCGGUGUUUUAUACCUGGCAACCUACCGAGGGGGUACCCGAGGUAGUGUUUGGUGUGGUGGGGCUCGCCGAGAUCAAGAACUCGAAGGUGAACACAGACACACGAUUUAGACAGGUUUGGGUCGCUGAAUAGCAUACUACCCUACGUCCUAUGUGUUGGCUGCAUUGAUUGAUGGAUGCUUUGGAGGAGGUCCCUGCCUCGCCUUAUAUAUCCGGGGGUAAGGUUACAGGUUAAUUAUUUACAGAGAUACUAGUCGGAUUUGACUAGAUAAGUCCUAUUGCUAUUACAACGAGUACUUUCCUAAUCUUCGACUAGUUCUUGUCUUUUUCAUGUAGAUCACGCCGUCCUGCACCGUGGUCUCUAUGUCAGAUACGCCUCAAUGUCCAGCCCCAUAUUUGGGACUGUCCAAACCUUCUGGUGGGCCCAUAGAUGUAUGUACA
rnacentral:lncRNA from 1 species